AUUCUAGAGCUAAUACAUGCUGAUGAGCGCUGACCUUCCGGGGAUGCAUGCAUUUAUCAGACCAAAACCAAUCCGGGUCUCGGCCCGGCAGCUUUGGUGACUCUAGAUAAACUCGGGCCGAUCGCGUGCCCUCGUGGCGGCGACUUGAGUGUG